AGAGUGAACGCUGGCGGCAUGCCUAACACAUGCAAGUCGAACGGUAACAGGCCCGCAAGGGUGCUGACGAGUGGCGGACGGGUGAGGAAUACAUCGGAAUUUGCCCAGUCGUGGGGGAUAACGUAGGGAAACUUACGCUAAUACCGCAUACGACCGGAAGGUGAAAGCGGGGGAUCAGCAAUGACCUCGCGCGGAUGGAUAAGCCGAUGUCGGAUUAGCUAGUUGGCGGGGUAAGAGCCCACCAAGGCGACGAUCCGUAGCUGGUCUGAGAGGAUGAUCAGCCACACUGGGACUGAGACACGGCCCAGACUCCUACGGGAGGCAGCAGUGGGGAAUAUUGGACAAUGGGCGCAAGCCUGAUCCAGCCAUGCCGCGUGAGUGAUGAAGGCCCUAGGGUUGUAAAGCUCUUUGUGCGGGAAGAUAAUGACGGUACCGCAAGAAUAAGCCCCGGCUAACUUCGUGCCAGCAGCCGC
rnacentral:rRNA from 1 species